GGGUUGUGAGGUUAAGCGACUAAGCGUACACGGUGGAUGCCUAGGCAAUCAGAGGCGAUGAAGGACGUGCUAAUCUGCGAUAAGCGUCGGUAAGGUGAUAUGAACCGUUACAACCGACGAUUUCCGAAUGGGGAAACCCAGUGCAAUUCGUUGCACUAUCGUUUGAUGAAUACAUAGUCAAACGAAGCGAACCGGGGGAACUGAAACAUCUCAGUACCCCGAGGAAAAGAAAUCAACCGAGAUUCCCCUAGUAGCGGCGAGCGAACGGGGAGCAGCCCAGAGUCUUAAUCAGCAUUAGCAUCAGGAGAACGGUCUGGAAAGUCCGGCAGUAAAGGGUGAUAGCCCCGUAUCCGAAGGUGUUAGUGUUGUGAACUCGACGAGUAGGGCGGGACACGUGUUAUCCUGUCUGAAUAUGGGGGGACCAUCCUCCAAGGCUAAAUACUCCUGAUUGACCGAUAGUGAACCAGUACCGUGAGGGAAAGGCGAAAAGAACCCCGGCGAGGGGAGUGAAAUAGAACCUGAAACCGUGUACGUACAAGCAGUGGGAGCC
rnacentral:rRNA from 1 species